UACUUGUACCAACUGGAUGAGCAGCGAACGGGUGAGUAACGCGUGGGGAAUCUGCCUUUGAGCGGGGGACAACAUUUGGAAACGAAUGCUAAUACCGCAUAAAAACUUUAAACACAAGUUUUAAGUUUGAAAGAUGCAAUUGCAUCACUCAAAGAUGAUCCCGCGUUGUAUUAGCUAGUUGGUGAGGUAAAGGCUCACCAAGGCGAUGAUACAUAGCCGACCUGAGAGGGUGAUCGGCCACAUUGGGACUGAGACACGGCCCAAACUCC
rnacentral:rRNA from 1 species